rnacentral:rRNA from 1 species
CCUACGGGUGGCUGCAGUGGGGAAUAUUGGACAAUGGGCGAAAGCCUGAUCCAGCCAUGCCGCGUGUGUGAAGAAGGCCUUCGGGUUGUAAAGCACUUUCAGUGGGGAAGAAAGCCUUGGGGCUAAUACCCUCGAGGAAGGACAUCACCCACAGAAGAAGCACCGGCUAACUCCGUGCCAGCAGCCGCGGUAAUACGGAGGGUGCGAGUGUUAAUCGGAAUUACUGGGCGUAAAGCGCGCGUAGGCGGUCUGAUAAGCCGGUUGUGAAAGCCCCGGGCUCAACCUGGGAACGGCAUCCGGAACUGUCAGGCUAGAGUGCAGGAGAGGAAGGUAGAAUUCCCGGUGUAGCGGUGAAAUGCGUAGAGAUCGGGAGGAAUACCAGUGGCGAAGGCGGCCUUCUGGACUGACACUGACGCUGAGGUGCGAAAGCGUGGGUAGCAAACAGGAUUAGAUACCCCUGAGUC